ensembl:misc_RNA
CUGAUAGCUCUGUAGACUCUCUUUAUGAACAGAACAUGUGCAGCAUAGCCAGUGGCAAUAAAAGCUUUCCCACAGGGAUAUGCUAAUGUGCCUCAACCCUGACCUGGAGGGAUCACAUGUAGUUUCCGUAUCCUAAUCAGUCCUUUGCCUCU